CCUACGGGAGGCAGCAGUGAGGAAUAUUGGUCAAUGGGCGGGAGCCUGAACCAGCCAAGCCGCGUGAGGGAAGAAGGUACAGCGUAUCGUAAACCUCUUUUGUCAGGGAAAAAAAGCGGGGACUAGUCCCCGGAUGAGUGUACCUGAACAAAAAGCAUCGGCUAACUCCGGGCCAGCAGCCGCGGUAGUACGGGGGAUGCGAGCGUUAUACGGAGUUAUUGGGUUUAUGGGGUGCGCGGGCGGCCUGGUAAGUCGGCGGUAAAAGCCGGGGGCUGAGCCCCGGCGAGCCGUUGAAACUGGCGGGCUUGAGUGGGCGAGAAGUACGCGGAAUGCGCGGUGUAGCGGUGAAAUGCUUAGAUAUCGCGCAGAACCCCGAUUGCGAAGGCAGCGUACCGGCUCCACACUGACGCUGAGGCACGAAAGCGUGGGUAUCGAACAGGAUUAGAUACCCCAGUAGUC
rnacentral:rRNA from 1 species